UACGGGGGGGGCAAGCGUUGUUCGGAAUUACUGGGCGUAAAGAGCUCGUAGGCGGUCUGUCGCGUCUGCUGUGAAAACUCGGGGCUUAACCCCGGGCCUGCAGUGGGUACGGGCAGACUAGAGUGCGGUAGGGGAGACUGGAAUUCCUGGUGUAGCGGUGAAAUGCGUAGAUAUCGGGAGGAAUACCUAUGGCGAAAGCAGGCUACUGGACCGUCACUGACUCUGAUCUGCGAAAGCUAGGGGAGCAAACAGG
rnacentral:rRNA from 1 species